GAAACCAUACUAGUCAGACAAGAUCAUAAUAGAUGGAAAAGACUAGCAUAAAUUGAGCAUAGGCCAAACAGCAUUAUAAUGGACAACGGUUUAGGUGAACUCGAACAGGUCAGAUGUGCUACGGGUCAAAACUUGUAAGUUGCAACUCUCAGGUUUGUCUCAAGUAGAAAUAAUUCAAUUCCAUAUUUUUCGGUUAACAGUAGAAAUGGUUGAAUUCCAUAUUUUCCAGUUAACUUCCAAUUCUUAAACACAAAGGUAUUGAGCAGCUACAAAUAACCAACCCCAUGAAAGAACCCUGAUAGCAAUGCAAAGUCCUCCAAUGGAAGAAAUGACUAUCAAUACCAGAGAUGCAUCACUGCCAUAGAAAGCAUUGCCAGUUGGAAAAUAAAGUAGAGGGCACAUUGCAAUACCUGAAUGAUGUGGAGCUGAUGGACCGGGAUAACCAGCUGGAGGAUAACCAGCUGGAGGAUAACCAGCUGGAGGAUAACCUGCAGGUGGGUACCCCCCCUGGGGAGGAUAGCCUGCAGGUGGGUACCCCCCUUGGGGGGGAUAACCUGGUGGUGGAUAUCCGCCAUGAUGAGGAUAUCCAGCAGGUGGAUAGCCCUGAGGAGGAUAACCAUGUGGAGGAUAUGAUCCUUGGGGUGGUAAGUGGCCAGCAGCAUAUCCGGCUAGAUGUGAAAACAACCCUUUAU
rnacentral:lncRNA from 1 species